CCUACGGGAGGCAGCAGUAAGGAAUAUUGGUCAAUGGACGAAAGUCUGAACCAGCCAUGCCGCGUGAAGGAUGAAGGCCCUCUGGGUUGUAAACUUCUUUUAUAGGGGACGAAAAAAACGGGAAUUCUUUCCCACUUGACGGUACCCUAGGAAUAAGCACCGGCUAACUCCGUGCCAGCAGCCGCGGUAAUACGGAGGGUGCAAGCGUUAUCCGGAUUUACUGGGUUUAAAGGGUGCGUAGGUGGGCAGUUAAGUCAGUGGUGAAAUCUCCGAGCUUAACUCGGAAACUGCCAUUGAUACUAUCUGUCUUGAAUAUCCUGGAGGUGAGCGGAAUAUGUCAUGUAGCGGUGAAAUGCUUAGAUAUGACAUAGAACACCAAUUGCGAAGGCAGCUCACUACGGGAUUAUUGACACUGAGGCACGAAAGCGUGGGGAUCAAACAGGAUUAGAUACCCUGGUAGUCCACGCCCUAAACUAUGGAUACUCGACAUCAGCGAUACACUGUUGGUGUCUGAGCGAAAGCAUUAAGUAUCCACCUGGGAAGUACGAUCGCAAGAUUGAAACUUCAAAAUGAAUUGACGGCUUGAGACGNGCGAGAGACACAGGAGAGG
rnacentral:rRNA from 1 species